GAUGAACGCUGGCGGCGUGCUUAACACAUGCAAGUCGAACGGAAAGGCUCCUGCUUGCAGGGGUACUCGAGUGGCGAACGGGUGAGUAACACGUGGGUGAUCUGCCCUGUACUUCGGGAUAAGCCUGGGAAACUGGGUCUAAUACCGGAUAGGACAACAUCUUGGAUGGUGUGGUGGAAAGUUUUUCGGUGUGGGAUGAGCUCGCGGCCUAUCAGCUUGUUGGUGGGGUAAUGGCCUACCAAGUCGUCGACGGGUAGCCGGCCUGAGAGGGUGUACGGCCACAUUGGGACUGAGAGACGGCCCAGACUGCUACAGGGGGCAGCAGUGGGGAAUAUUACACAGUGGGCGCAAGCCUGAUGCGGCGACGCCGCGUGGGGGAUGACGGCCUUCGGGUUGUGAACUCCUUUCGCUAGGGACGAAGCGCAAGUGACGGUACCUGGAGAAGAAGCACCGGCUAACUACGUG
rnacentral:rRNA from 1 species